rnacentral:rRNA from 1 species
AACGUAGGAGGCAAGCGUUAUCCGGAGUUACUGGGCGUAAAGAGCGUGUAGGCGGGCUGGCAAGUCUGAUGUGAAAGCUCCCGGCUAAACUGGGAGAGUGCAUUGGAGACUGCCAAUCUAGAGGCUGUCAGAGGGUCGUGGAAUUCCGGGUGUAGUGGUGAAAUGCGUAGAGAUCCGGAGGAACACCAGUGGCGAAGGCGACGACCUGGGGCAGAACUGACGCUGAGACGCGAAAGCACGGGGAGCGAACGGG